AGCGAACGCUGGCGGCAGGCUUAACACAUGCAAGUCGAACGGGCAUCUUCGGAUGUCAGUGGCAGACGGGUGAGUAACACGUGGGAACGUACCCUUCGGUUCGGAAUAACUCAGGGAAACUUGAGCUAAUACCGGAUACGCCCUUUUGGGGAAAGGUUUACUGCCGAAGGAUCGGCCCGCGUCUGAUUAGCUUGUUGGUGGGGUAACGGCCUACCAAGGCGACGAUCAGUAGCUGGUCUGAGAGGAUGAUCAGCCACACUGGGACUGAGACACGGCCCAGACUCCUACGGGAGGCAGCAGUGGGGAAUAUUGGACAAUGGGCGCAAGCCUGAUCCAGCCAUGGCGCGUGAGUGAUGAAGGCCUUAGGGUUGUAAAGCUCUUUUGUCCGGGACGAUAAUGACGGUACCGGAAGAAUAAGCCCCGGCUAACUUCGUG
rnacentral:rRNA from 1 species